rnacentral:rRNA from 1 species
AUUGAACGCUGGCGGCAGGCUUAACACAUGCAAGUCGAGCGGAGCGAGGGUGCUUGCACCUUAGCUUAGCGGCGGACGGGUGAGUAAUGCUUAGGAAUCUGCCUAUUAGUGGGGGACGACAUUCCGAAAGGAAUGCUAAUACCGCAUACGCCCUACGGGGGAAAGCAGGGGAUCUUCGGACCUUGCGCUAAUAGAUGAGCCUAAGUCGGAUUAGCUAGUUGGUGGGGUAAAGGCCUACCAAGGCGACGAUCUGUAGCGGGUCUGAGAGGGUGAUCCGCCACACUGGGACUGAGACACGGCCCAGACUCCUACGGGAGGCAGCAGUGGGGAAUAUUGGACAAUGGGCGGAAGCCUGAUCCAGCCAUGCCGCGUGUGUGAAGAAGGCCUUUUGGUUGUAAAGCACUUUAAGCGAGGAGGAGGCUACUAGUAUUAAUACUACUGGAUAGUGGACGUUACUCGCAGAAUAAGCACCGGCUAACUCUGUGCCAGCCGCCGCAGUAAUAC